CUUGUUCCCUCUGACACUUUUACCCCAACGUCAGAGGGGACAUUUCUGAGCCCAUCACCUCGUCUCCACGCGCAGCUGAGCAUCAGUUCUUAAGAGUUCGUGUGCAGACCGCGAGUGCUGCCCUUUGAGGAGGGCGGAUGCUGCGUGCGCCCGUGAUGCUGUGCAUUUAAAAUCGUGGAGGUCUUUGCCGUGGUUCAUCUUUAGUCGGGGUGAUUGACGUAAAGACCAGAGCGCCUUAAUUUUCCCUCAUGAAGUGCAUCCUGUUUCCCCGAUCGCCACCCAGCAUGACCUCAUAAGGCUUCUAAGGUCAUUUUUUUAAAGUUUAGUCAGUUACCCCAAGUGAGGAAACUUCCAGAUUCCUGACUGAGUUACAAGCCUUACUGCCAGUUUUCUGUGACUGAGGAGGGAAAAAGGCUAGAUAUCUCAUUAUUGGCAGCUCUUCUAUCCAGAGUGAGUUAAGGAUCCAGACUUCUACCUAGUGCUUUUACCAUCCGGGGCACCCUGUCAUCAACUUCAUCUAACCAGCUGAAUGGUAGAGAGAAUUUCCAAGACGAAAAUACAUAACAAAUCACUAUCUGUGAUUCACUAUCUGUGAUUCAUUAUCGCUGAAAAAUUCAUGGCUAUAACUUAAAGAGGGAAAUUAUUGGUUAAGUGCUGCUAGGUGCUUAAGACAAUCUCCUAUUCAUGCACAGGUAUUUAUCAUCCUCAGAACCCUGUGAGUUCAACUUUAUAUCCAAGUGAGGAGUGGGAAGUUUUGAGAGAAUUACAUUUCUUAGGUUCACUGCUGCUAAGUGGCACAUUUGGGGUCUAAAGCCAGAUUAUAAAGCCAGUUCAUUUUACCAUUUAUUUUAAAAAUAUGAGUGGUAGAAUAUAGCCUCUAAGAACUGUUUAAAAACAUGAAACAUUUUUAUGUGACAUUUUGUUUUGAAACAAAUCCUUGUAUUGCCUAGAAGAUAUACAAUGUAUGUUGAAAAUUAUCAUUGUAUAUCCUAAACUUUGGGCACAGUGGAAAACUAGGUAACUCUGGAAUAUUAAAAUAGGCUAAUAAGAUAUAGACCAACUGCAUAGUUAUUUUAGAUUGCGUGGAAUAAGGUUGCCUGUCUAACAUGAAACAUGUAUUAUAUACACCCAAAAGUAGGUGUAAUAUAUCAGUAUACUUUAAAGAAUAAUACAUUGAAUGCCUAUUACCCUACCACCAAGAAAGAAAUAAAAUAUUGUCAGUAAUUUAGAAGCCCAAAAUGUGUUCCUUUCAGGUCACAUUUUCCUCCCUUACAACACCUUCCCCGACCUCUUUGCCUGAAGCAGCCAUGACCCAGAAUUUUGUGUUGAUCAUUGCACUCAUUUUCUUCAGAAUUCGACUACAUUGUGUAUAACUCUAAAUUUCAUUGGUUUGCCUAUUUUCGAACUUUCUAAAAGCAGACACUUUUGUCAUUCUGUUAGUUGAUUCUUAGCUUUGACAUAAAGUUUUUGAAAUCCUGCAUUUUGAUGAAGUCAGUAAUUAAUACAUAUCUCUGCUAUAUGUUGUUCCAUUGUCUGGAUAUAUAUUUGUACAUUUGAUAUUAUGAACAAAGAUGUUUUGAGUUUUUUUAAUAGAUUGCUCCUGUUUCCAUAUGAAGAAUUUCUCUAUGGCAGGGAUUUUUAACCUUUUUUAUGGAAUGGCAUAAAUGACCAUAGCACCGUUGGGAAAUCUUCCCCUUUAAAAAUAUUUUAUUACUUGAGAGAGCAGAAGAUUG